rnacentral:rRNA from 1 species
GAUUAAGUUAUUAAGGGCGCACGGUGGAUGCCUUGGCACUAGAAGCCGAUGAAGGACGUUACUAACGACGAUAUGCUUUGGGUAGCUGUAAGUAAGCGUUGAUCCAGAGAUUUCCGAAUGGGGGAACCCAGCAUGAGUUAUGUCAUGUUAUCGACAUGUGAAUUCAUAGCAUGUCAGAAGGCAGACCCGGAGAACUGAAACAUCUUAGUACCCGGAGGAAGAGAAAGAAAAAUCGAUUCCCUGAGUAGCGGCGAGCGAAACGGGAAGAGCCCAAACCAACAAGCUUGCUUGUUGGGGUUGUAGGACACUCUAUACGGAGUUACAAAAGAACAUGUUAGACGAAUCAUCUGGAAAGAUGAAUCAAAGAAGGUAAUAAUCCUGUAGUCGAAAACAUAUUCUCUCUUGAGUGGAUCCUGAGUACGACGGAGCACGUGAAAUUCCGUCGGAAUCUGGGAGGACCAUCUCCUAAGGCUAAAUACUCUCUAGUGACCGAUAGUGAACCAGUACCGUGAGGGAAAGGUGAAAAGUACCCCGGAAGGGGAGUGAAAGAGAACUUGAAACCGUGUGCUUACAAGUAGUCAGAGCCCGUUAAUGGGUGAUGGCGUGCCUUUUGUAGAAUGAACCGGCGAGUUACGAUCUGAUGCAAGGUUAAGCAGCAAAUGUGGAGCCGCAGCGAAAGCGAGUCUGAAUAGGGCGUUGAGUAUUUGGUCGUAGACCCGAAACCAGGUGAUCUACCCUUGGUCAGGUUGAAGUUCAGGUAACACUGAAUGGAGGACCGAACCGACUUACGUUGAAAAGUGAGCGGAUGAACUGAGGGUAGCGGAGAAAUUCCAAUCGAACUUGGAGAUAGCUGGUUCUCUCCGAAAUAGCUUUAGGGCUAGCCUCAAGUGAUGAUUAUUGGAGGUAGAGCACUGUUUGGACGAGGGGCCCCUCUCGGGUUACCGAAUUCAGACAAACUCCGAAUGCCAAUUAAUUUAACUUGGGAGUCAGAACAUGGGUGAUAAGGUCCGUGUUCGAAAGGGAAACAGCCCAGACCACCAGCUAAGGUCCCAAAAUAUAUGUUAAGUGGAAAAGGAUGUGGCGUUGCCCAGACAACUAGGAUGUUGGCUUAGAAGCAGCCAUCAUUUAAAGAGUGCGUAAUAGCUCACUAGUCGAGUGACACUGCGCCGAAAAUGUACCGGGGCUAAACAUAUUACCGAAGCUGUGGAUUGUCCUUUGGACAAUGGUAGGAGAGCGUUCUAAGGGCGUCGAAGCAUGAUCGCAAGGACAUGUGGAGCGCUUAGAAGUGAGAAUGCCGGUGUGAGUAGCGAAAGACGGGUGAGAAUCCCGUCCACCGAUUGACUAAGGUUUCCAGAGGAAGGCUCGUCCGCUCUGGGUUAGUCGGGUCCUAAGCUGAGGCCGACAGGCGUAGGCGAUGGAUAACAGGUUGAUAUUCCUGUACCACCUAGUAUCGUUUUAAUCGAUGGGGGGACGCAGUAGGAUAGGCGAAGCGUGCUGUUGGAGUGCACGUCCAAGCAGUAAGGCUGAGUGUUAGGCAAAUCCGGCACUCAUAAGGCUGAG